CGAGAGGUGCAAGCGUUAUUCGGAAUUAUUGGGCGUAAAGGGUGCGUAGGCGGUAUGAUAGUCUGUUGUUAAAUAUCCUGGCUCAACCAGGAAAAUGCAAUGGAAACUAUUGUUCUAGAGGGUGAGAGAGAGAAGUGGAAUUCCAGGAGUUAGCGGUCAAAUGCGUAGAUCUCUGGAGGAACACCGAUGGCGAAGGCAGCUUCUUGGCUCAUUUCUGACGCUGAGGCACGAAAGCGUGGGGAGCAAACAGGAUUAGAUACCCUGGUAGUCCACGCUGUAAACGAUGAUCACUAGAUGUUGGUUCGGCUUGCCGGAUCAGUGUCGUAGCUAACGCGUUAAGUGAUUCGCCUGGGAAGUACGGUCGCAAGACUA
rnacentral:rRNA from 1 species